rnacentral:tRNA from 1 species
GACCUGGUAACUUAGUGUUAAAGAACCUGCCUGCCAAUGCAGGAGAUGCAGGUUCAAUCCCCAGGUCA